rnacentral:rRNA from 1 species
GUGUCAGCAGCCGCGGUAAGACAGAGGGGGCAAGCGUUGCUCGGAAUCACUGGGCGUAAAGGGCGCGUAGGCGGGACGCCAAGUCGGUCGUGAAAUCUCCGGGCUCAACCCGGAGGAGUCGGCCGAAACUGGUGUUCUUGAGGGAGGCAGAGGAGUCUGGAAUUCCCGGUGUAGCGGUGAAAUGUGUAGAGAUCGGGAGGAACACCGGUGGCGAAGGCGGGACUCUGGGCCUACCCUGACGCUGAGGCGCGAAGGCGUGGGGAGCAAACGGGAUUAGAUACCCCCGUAGUCC